rnacentral:rRNA from 1 species
CCUACGGGAGGCAGCAGUGAGGAAUAUUGGACAAUGGGCGCAAGCCUGAUCCAGCCAUGCCGCGUGCAGGAUGACGGUCCUAUGGAUUGUAAACUGCUUUUAUACGAGAAGAAACACUCCGACGUGUCGGAGCUUGACGGUAUCGUAAGAAUAAGGAUCGGCUAACUCCGUGCCAGCAGCCGCGGUAAUACGGAGGAUCCAAGCGUUAUCCGGAAUCAUUGGGUUUAAAGGGUCCGUAGGCGGUUUAAUAAGUCAGUGGUGAAAGCCCAUCGCUCAACGGUGGAACGGCCAUUGAUACUGUUAAACUUGAAUUAUUAGGAAGUAACUAGAAUAUGUAGUGUAGCGGUGAAAUGCUUAGAGAUUACAUGGAAUACCAAUUGCGAAGGCAGGUUACUACUAAUUGAUUGACGCUGAUGGACGAAAGCGUGGGUAGCGAACAGGAUUAGAUACCCUGGUAGUCCACGCCGUAAACGAUGGAUACUAGCUGUUGGGAGCAAUCUCAGUGGCUAAGCGAAAGUGAUAAGUAUCCCACCUGGGGAGUACGUUCGCAAGAAUGAAACUCAAAUGAAUUGAGG